GUCCACGCCCUAAACGAUGGGUACUAGACGUCGGGAAGCUUGUCUUCUUGGUGUCGCAGCUAACGCAAUAAGUACCCCGCCUGGGGAGUACGGUCGCAAGAUUAAAACUCAAAGGAAUUGACGGGGGCCCGCACAAGCGGUGGAGCAUGUGGUUCAAUUCGAUGCAACGCGAAAACCUUAACCUGCCCUUGACAUCCGGGGAAUACUGCAGAGAUGCGGGAGUGCCGCAAGGAACCCCAAGACAGGUGCUGCAUGGCUGUCGU
rnacentral:rRNA from 1 species